GAAAAAACAAUUGUUGUGUUCAAGUUGUGCUAAAAGCAGUUAGCCUGUCAGAAAGCUAUGCUAGCCUAAAAUAGCCUCAAUGCUAAACAUGUAGCAUCUAAUGCAAAU